UGGCGUCGAGAUCGAACAUGUAGACUGCAUCAAAGACCUUGGUGUCUUAAUUGACAACAAGCUUAUGUUCACCAAACAUGUAGACAAAAUCACACUCCAAGCCCUCAAAAUCCUAGGCCUUGUCACAAGAACAUGUAGAGACUUCAACUACCCGCAUACUACGGUUAACCUAUACCUUACUCUAGUUCUGCCGAUUUUGGAAUACUGUUCGGUCAUCUGGUCACCUUACACUGAUAUCUUAACCAAGCAGCUUGAGAGAAUUCAAGACAAGCUAUGUAAAUAUCUCUCAAAUACAUGCUGGUCGCGAGCUAAUGCCUCCACUUUAGAUGAUCUUCGCAAGCACUUCAAAUUAAACAAUUUGACUAAUCGUCGUCAGGUCGCCGACAUGGCUUUUUUUUACAAGGUGGUCAAUGGAAUCAUUGACGCCCCGGACAUCUGCAGCAGCUUCGAAUUUGCGCCUGCCAACAUAAUGUUGAGGCGCAAAAGGUUACUGAAAACUACUAAGUCUUCAAAAAACUAUGUGGUGAAUGGACCUCAUGACAGAAUAGCAAACCUGGUGAAUAAAUUAAAUGGCGAAGUGGAAUUCUACGGUGGUACCUUCAGUGCUUUUAUGUCAAACAUUAAAAAACAGUUACUUAUGUACACAUAAACUACACAAAAUUUUCUUUUUCUCGUUCUCUGCUUCAACUUAAAUCAUAAUUUAAUUUUCUUUAAUUUAUAAAAAUAGCAGCAGACGUUAUGGAUAUUUCACCGGUUAUGAUGGUGAAGACAAAAAGCAGUAUGGCGACCCCGAUCGGCAUUUCCAUAACCAAAAAAAAUCU